GACCUCUUCCGAUCUGGGAAUCUGACUGUUUAAUUAAAACAAAGCAUUGCGAGGGCCCGCGGUGGGUGUUGACUCAAUGUGAUUUCUGCCCAGUGCUCUGAAUGUCAAAGUGAAGAAA